GCCAGAUUUAUCUUUAUAGAUAUAUUUGAACAUGUGCCAAAAGAUGUUUGCUAUAACGUUGUAUAAAAUAACAAAAGUCUAGAAAUAACCUAAGUGCCCAUAAAUAAGGAACCUAUGAAAUAAAUUAAAGCAUAUUUCUAUAGCGGAAUACUCUGCAGCCAUCAAUAAGACUGAAGUAGAUCUAGAGAUCAACUUUUAUGGAUCUAACAUGGAACUAUUUUAGCACACUGUUAAGUGAGAACAUUCAAGGGUCUUCCGUAUGUCAAUAUGAUGCUACUAUUUGAUAUAGUCCAUGAGGUGGGAACAUUUAUAAAGGAAACAAAAAAAAAAAGAAAGAAAGAAAUGUUUAUUUCUUGUUAUUGAAAAGAACUUGCUAGAUAAAAAACCCUGAAUUUGUGCUGUAUGCCCUGAAUGUGAAUCUAAAAAGCAAAUUGGUUCCUCAUAUUAAUAUAGAUCUCUAUAGUCAGUUAUGAUGUGACUGAGAUAAGCAGGAGCAUAAAACAGGAGUCAGACAGCCUGUGGAUUCCUGCAGGUAUUGUCCCUGCUUUUUCUCUGGGUGAGGCAGGAAGGAGUGUGAGGAAAGAAGAAGGGAGUUCAGAAUCUGGUAGAAACCAAAGCAGGGAAGAGGCAGUAGAAGGCGUGAGACAAGGGUGCUACACGCCUUUGUCUCUCCUCUGAUCUCUAUCUAUUUGGUCUCUCUAUCUGAUCUCCUCUCAGCAGGAACAUCUUCCACUCUAGAGAUGCUGCCCCAUGUCCCGUAUUUGGAGCUGAUGUGCUGAAGGAUAGAGAUGAAGAGGAAGCUGUAGCUCCUCACCAGAGCCAAGCAUCCCCUCAGAUAGGGUGUUUGGUGAAAAGGCCCCUCAGCCCCACCCUCUUCAAGGGUAAUGAAGAGCUCUUCUCCCUGGCAGCAGAGGCUGCUCAUCAUCCGCCAUGCAGCAUUGGGUGCACGACCACUGAUGAAGAUAGAAUGACCAGGCCUACAGCAUUAUUAAUGCCAGCGUCGGAUCUUUGA
rnacentral:lncRNA from 13 species